rnacentral:rRNA from 1 species
GAUGAACGCUAGCGGCAGGCCUAACACAUGCAAGUCGAGGGAGGAGCCUUCGGGCUUCGACCGGCGUACGGGUGCGUAACGCGUAUACAAUCUGCCUUUCACAUAGGGAUAGCCCGAAGAAAUUUGGAUUAAUACCUAAUGGUAUAUAGAUGUGGCAUCACCUUUAUAUUAAAGCUGAGGCGGUGAAAGAUGAGUAUGCGUUCUAUUAGCUAGUUGGAGAGGUAACGGCUCCCCAAGGCGACGAUAGAUAGGGGUUCUGAGAGGGAUAUCCCCCACACUGGUACUGAGAUACGGACCAGACUCCUACGGGAGGCAGCAGUGAGGAAUAUUGGACAAUGGUCGGAAGACUGAUCCAGCCAUGCCGCGUGCAGGAAGACGGCCUUAUGGGUUGCAAACUGCUUUUGCAGGGGAAGAAUAAGGACUACGCGUAGUUUGAUGACGGUACUCUGCGAAUAAGCAUCGGCUAACUCCGUGC